CCUACGGGUGGCAGCAGUGAGGAAUAUUGGUCAAUGGUAGAGAUCCUGAACCAGCCAAGCCGCGUGAGGGAGGACGGUCCUGUGUGUUGUAAACCUCUUUUGUCGGAGAACAAAGCCCGGGACGUGUCCCCGGCUGCGUGUACCCGAAGAAAAAGCAUCGGCUAACUCCGUGCCAGCAGCCGCGGUAAUACGGAGGAUGCGAGCGUUAUCCGGAUUUAUUGGGUUUAAAGGGUGCGUAGGCGGUCCGUUAAGUCAGCGGUAAAAUCGCGGGGCUCAACCCCGGCGCGCCGUUGAAACUGGCAGACUCGAGUUGGAGAGAAGUACGCGGAAUGCGCGGUGUAGCGGUGAAAUGCAUAGAUAUCGCGCAGAACUCCGAUUGCGAAGGCAGCAUGCCGGCGCCACACUGACGCUGAGGCACGAAAGCGUGGGUAUCGAACAGGAUUAGAUACCCGUGUAGUC
rnacentral:rRNA from 1 species